UCGUCUUUCUCCAGACGGAUAAGCAGCACGCGCCGGAGAAGAGGACGCGCGCGACGCCGGAGCAGAAGGGAGGAACAGCGACGCACAUGGGGGAGCUGGCGACGCGCUAAAGGACGGGCAGGUGGCGGAUAGGACGCCGGUUCGACCGACUGAGGCCGUUCGGCGCACAGGGACCGGCGGUUGAAGCUCCGUCGACCGACCGACCCCUCGCCUAUAAAUAGGGCUCCCCCGACGACGGCAAAGGGCAGGCCGAGAACGAUCGAAGGCUGCAAAGCUUCGUGCUUCCUACUGAGAGACCUCAGAAAGGGAGCCGAGGACGAGCAAGCCCAGAUCCGAAGGCUUGCGGCCGGAGAGGGAGAAGUUCUGCCGGAGAGAGAGAGAGAGAAGCGGAUUGAGGUCGCAGACCUCGGACGACCCGCUGAGAGACUUCAGGGGGUCCGAGGGCUCGCGGCCGGAAAUCUGAGGCGUUGCCGGAGGAGUGGAUCGAGAGAGAGAGGGGGAGAUCGAGCUCGGGGAAAGCGAAAGGGCGUUGAGCGCCGUGCGACGUUGUUGCCGUCUCUGCCGUGCACGGUUGCCGGUCUUGGCCAGGUAGCCUAUCUUCGUCGUCAUCACCGCUGUCACCGUCGUAGCCCUCUCCGUUGUCCCGUUCUCGUCACGCCGCCGCCGCUACCGUAGUCACCGUCGCCGCCGAAAUGCCUAGGUUUCCGUCUCCGGCGCCGCGGAUUCGCAAACCCUAGGGUUUGCGAUUUUCCGGGUCGCGAAGCGGAUCCGGACCCGGAAAAUCGGGUAGGGUUCGCGAUCCACGGGCGGCGGGAGUCGGGUCGGGUAGGGUUUCGCUGGAGGGAGCGGGUUGUCGAGCCGGGUUGUCGGGUCGGGCCGGGUGUCCCUAAACA
rnacentral:lncRNA from 1 species